UUCGUCAGGAAUUUCUUCGACAAGAAGACCAGCUUCAGGACUAUAGGAAGAACAAUACUUACCUUGUGAAGAGGUUAGAAUAUGAAAGUUUUCAGUGUGGACAGCAGAUCAAGGAAUUGAGAGCACAGCAUGAAGAAAAUAUUAAAAAGUUAGCAGACCAGUUUUUACAGGAACAAAAGCAAGAGACCCACAAGAUUCAAUCAAAUGAUGGAAAAGAAUUGGAUAUAAACAAUCAAGUAGUACCUAAAAAUAUUCCAAAAGUAGCUGAGAAUGUUGCAGAUAAGAAUGAAGAACCCCCAAGCAAUCAUAUUCCACAUGGGAAAGAACAAAUCAAAAGAGGUGGUGAUGCAGGGAUGCCUGGAAUAGAAGAGAAUGACCUAGCAAAAGUUGAUGAUCUUCCCCCUGCAUCCAGGAAAAGCUUUUAGGUUUUUGUGUGUGUGUGUGUGUGUGUGUGUGUGACAGAGUCUCGCUCUGUUGUCCAGGCUGAAGUAUAGUAGCGUGAUCUCGGCUCACUGCAACCUGCACCUCCUGGGUUCAAGCAAUUCUUCUGUCUCAGCCUCCCAAGUAGCUGAGACUACAGGCGCCCACCACCAUGCCUGGCUAAUUUUUUGUAUUUUUAGUAGAGAUGGGGUUUCACCAUGUUGGCCAGGCUGGUCUUGAACUCCUGACCUCAGGUGAUCCACCC
rnacentral:sRNA from 1 species